CCAGCACUGCGCUGCCUGCGGGAGCUGCCCCUGCACCGAGGACCCCCCCGGCCCCCACUGCCGCCACUGCCAGGCCUGCCCCUUCUGCUACCUCUGCCCCCUGCUCUGCGAGACCGCCUGCCAGCCCGGGAGCCUCGUGGACGAGUUCUCGGGGGCUCUGCUGCAGUCGCUGGGGAGCUUCUUCGAGGCGCCGGAAGACUGAGGGGGGGGCACCCCAAAACGGGGGGUUUCACCCCAAAAUGGGGGGGCUUUACCCCAAAACGGGG